GAUGAACGCUGGCGGCGUGCUUAACACAUGCAAGUCGAACGGUGAAGCAGGAGCUUGCUCUUGUGGAUCAGUGGCGAACGGGUGAGUAACACGCGAGCAACCUGCCCCUGACUCUGGGAUAAGCGCUGGAAACGGCGUCUAAUACUGGAUAUGUGAUGUGACCGCAUGGUCUGCAUCUGGAAAGAAUUUCGGUUGGGGAUGGGCUCGCGGCCUAUCAGCUUGUUGGUGAGGUAAUGGCUCACCAAGGCGUCGACGGUUAGCCGGCCUGAGAGGGUGACCGGCCACACUGGGACUGAGACACGGCCCAGACUCCUACGGGAGGCAGCAGUGGGGAAUAGUGCACGAUGGGCGGAAGCCUGAUGCAGCAACGCCGCGUGAGGGAUGACGGCCUUCGGGUUGUAAACCUCUUUUAGCAGGGAAGAAGCGAAAGUGACGGUACCUGCAGAAAAAGCACCGGCUAACUACGUGCCAGCCGCCGCAGUAA
rnacentral:rRNA from 1 species